GGCUCGUUAGCUCAGUGGUUAGAGCGUCAACCUGAAUAAAUGAAGGUCGUAGGUUCGAAUCCUACACGAGCCC